UACAGAGGUCUCAAGCGUUUGUUCGGAUUCAUUGGGCGUAAAGGGUGCGUAGGCGGCGAGGCAAGUCUGGUGUGAAAUCCCGGGGCUCGAACCCCGGAACUGCACUGGAUACUGCUUUGCUAGAGUACUGGAGAGGGAACUGGAAUUUACGGUGUAGCAGUGAAAUGCGUAGAUAUCGUAAGGAAGACCAGCGGCGAAGGCGAGUUCCUGGACAGUUACUGACGCUGAGGCACGAAGGCCAGGGGAGGCAAACGGG
rnacentral:rRNA from 1 species